UAGGUCAAAGGUCAAGGUCACAGUGACCCGAAAUAGUAAAAUGGUUUCCGGAUGAUAACUCAAGAACGCUUAUGCCUAGGAUCAUGAAACUUGAUAGGUACAUUGAUCAUGACUGGCAGAUGACCCCUAUUGAUUUUCAGGUCACUAGGUCAAAGGUCAAGGUCACAGUGACUCAAAACAGUAAAAUGGUUUCCGGAUGAUAACAGAAUGCUUAGGCCUAAAAUCAUGAAACUUCAUAGGUACAUUGAUAAUGACUGGCAGAUGACCCCUAUUGAUUUUAAGGUCACUAGGUCAAAGGUCAAGGUCACAGUGACUCGAAAUAGUAAAAUGGUUUCCGGAUGAUAACUCAAGAAUGCUUACGCCUACGAUCAUGAAACUUCAUAGGUACAUUGAUCAUGACUGGCAGAUGACCCUUAUUAAUUUUCAGGUCACUAGGUUAAAGGUCAAGGUCACAGUGACAAAAAACGUAUUCACACAAUGGCUGCCACUACAACUGACAGCCCAUAUUGGGGCAUGCAUGUUUUACAAACAGCCCUUCUUUAUAUUUAAAAUAUAAUUUCAUAAUUAUGUAAGUUAAAUAGAACCACAUAUGAUUUUUUUUAAUUGAUUGAUAUUUCUUUAGGAAGAUCAGUCUUACUCAAAUUAGAUUUGAAAUUGUAUAAACUAUUAAAGAUUUAUAGUACAUGAGGCAUCUUUAGUUUUUUUUAUGCCCCCCUUCGAAGAAGAGAAGGUAUAUUGCUUUGCUCAUGUCGGUCGGUCUGUCGGUCUGUCAGUCCGUCCACCAGGUGGUUUCAGAAUGAUAACUCAAGAACGCUUGGGCCUAGGAUCAUGAAACUUCAUAGGUAGAUUGAUCAUGACUCGCAGAUGACCCCUAUUGAUGUUAAGGGCACUAGGUCAAAGGUCAAGGUCACGGUGACCCGGAAUAGUAAAAUGGUUUCCUGAUGAUAACUCAAGAAAGCAUACGCCUAGGAUCAUGAAACUUCAUAGGUAGAUUGAUCAUGACUCGCAGAUGACCCCUAUUCAUUUUGAGGUCAAAGGUCAAGGUCACGGUGACCCAAAAUAGUAAAAUGGUUUCCGGAUGAUAACUCAAGAACGCAUACGCCUAGGAUCAUGAAACUUCAUCAUUAGAUAGAUCAUGACUUGCAGAUGACGCCUAUUGAUUUUGAGGUCACUAGGUCAAGGUCACGGUGACCCGAAAUAGUAAAAUGGUUUCCGGAUGAUAACUCAAGAACGCAUACGCCUAGGAUCAUGAAACGUCAUAAGUAGAUUGAUCAUGACUCGCAAAUGAACCCUAUUGAUUUUGAAGUCACUAGGUCAAAGGUCAAGGUCACGGUGACCUGAAAUAGUAAAAUGGUUUCCGGAUGAUAACUCAAUAACGCAUACGCCUAGGAUCACGAAACUCCAUCGUUAGAUAGAUCAUGACUCGCAGAUGACCCCUAUUGAUUUUGAGGUCUUUAGUUCAAAGGUCACGGUGACCCAAAAUAGUAAAAUGGUUUUUGGAUGAUAACUGAAGAACGCAUACGCCUAGGAUCAUGAAAUUUCAUAGGUAGAUUGAUCAUGACUCGCAGAUGACCCCUAUAGAUUUUGAGGUCACAAGGUCAAAGGUCAAGGUCACGGUGAGCCUAAAUAGUAAAAUCAUUUUCGUAUGAUAACUCAAAACGCAUAUUCCUUGGAUCAUGAAACUUCAUAGGUAGAUUGAUCAUGACUGGCAGAUGACCCCUAUUGAUUUUGAGGUCAUUAGGUCAAAGGUCAAGGUCACGGUGACCCGAAAUAGUAAAAUGGAUUUCGGAUGAUAACUCAAGAACACAUACGCCUAUGAUCAUGAAACUUCAUGGGUAUAUUGAUCAUGACUCGCAGAUGACUCCUAUUCAUUUUCAGGUCACUAGGUCAAAGGUCAAGGUCACGGUGAUCCGGAAUAGUAAAAUGGUUUAUGGAUGAUAACUCAAGAACGCAUACGCCUAGGAUCAUGAAACUUCAUCAUUAGAUAGAUCAUGACUUGCAGAUGACUCCUAUUGAUUUUGAGGUCACUAGGUCAAAGGUCAAGGUCACGGUGACCCGAAAUAGUAAAAUGGUUUCCGGAUGAUAACUCAAGAACGCAUAUGCCUAGGAUCAUGAACCUUCAUAAGUAGAAUGAUCAUGACUCGCAGAUGACCCCUAUUGAUUUUGAGGUCACUAGGUCAAAGGUCAAGGUCACGGUGACCCGAAAUAGUAAAAUGGUUUCCGGAUGAUAACUCAAGAACGCAUAUGCCUAGGAUCAUGAACCUUCAUAAGUAGAUUGAUCAUGACUCGCAGAUGACCCCUAUUGAUUUUGAUGUCACUAGGUCAAAGGUGAAGGUCAUGGUGACCCGAAAUAGUAAAAUGGUUUCCGGAUGAUAACUCCAGAACAAAUACGCCUCGGAUCACGAAACUCCAUCGUUAGAUAGAUCAUGACUCGAAGAUGACCCCUAUUGAUUUUGAGGUCACUAGGUCGAAGGUCAAGGUCACGGUGACCCAAAAAAGUAAAAUGGUUUUUGGAUGAUAACUCAAGAACGCAUACGCCAAGGAUCAUGAAACUUCAUGGUAGAUUGAUCAUGACUCGCAGAUGACCCCUAUAGAUAUUGAAGUCACUAGGUCAAAAGUCAAGGUCACGGUGACCCUAAAUAGUAAAAUGAUUUUCGUAUGAUAACUCAAGAACGCACAUUCCUAGGAUCAUGAAACUUCAUAGGUAGAUUGAUCAUGACUGGCAGAUGACCCCUAUUGAUUUUGAAGUCUUUAGGUCAAAUGUCAAGGUCACGGUGACCUGAAAUAGUAAAAUGGUUUUCGGAUGAUAACUCAAGAACGCAUACGCCUAGGAUCAUGAAACUUCAUGGGUAGAUUGAUCAUGACUCGCAGAUGAGCCCUAUUGAUUUUGAGGUCACUAGGUCAAAGGUCAAGGUCACGGUGACCCGAAAAGUUUAAUGGUUUCCGGAUGAUAACUCGAGAACGCUUACGCCUAGGAUCCUGAAACUUCAUAGGUACAUUGAUCAUAACUCGCAGAUGACCCAUAUUGAUUUUCAGGUCACUAGGUCAAAGGUCAAGGUCACGGUGACCCAAAAACAGUAAAAUUGUUUCCGGAUGAUUACUCAAGAACGCUUUUUCCUAGGAUCAUGACACUUCAUAGGUACAUUGAUCAUGACUCGCAGAUGACCCCUAUUGAUUUCAGAUCACUAGGUCAAAGGUCAAGGUCACAGUGACAAAAAACAUAUUCACACAAUGGCUGCCACUACAACGGACAGCCAAUAUGGGGGGGCAUGCAUGUUUUACAAACAGCCCUUGCUUAAAGUUUAAACAAUGAUGAAUGAAUGCAUUUUAAGUUUUAAAUAUGCACAAAUAUAUGUGUGAGUUGUUUAAUCAUUUAAAAGUUUAUUUGACAAUAGUCAAUAAUAUAUCAUUACAAUACGUUGUUGUAAUAACUUAAAAAUAUGGGUAUUCUUAAUCUAAUGAGAGAUCUUAUACUUUUUCCCAGAUUUGAUGAGAGAUAUAUAUGUAAAUCACUAAAAGCAACUGUUUGAUAUGUUGAUGUCUUUGAAAUGUUUUUUUAGUUUAUUCAUAUACAUGUGUAACUUGAAAUAAAGAGUGUUGCUUAAAA